AAUGAACGCUGGCGGCGCGCCUAAUACAUGCAAGUCGAGCGAGAAGACGUAGCAAUACGUUUGUAAAGCGGCGAACGGGUGAGGAAUACAUGGGUAACCUACCCUAGAGUGGGGAAUAACUAGCCGAAAGGUUAGCUAAUACCGCGUACGCUCCUUGGACUUCGGUUCAGGGAGGAAAGCGAUGCCGAGGGUAUCGCGCUCUUGGAUGGGCUCAUGUCCUAUCAGCUGUUGGUGAGGUAACGGCUCACCAAGGCUUCGACGGGUAGCUGGUCUGAGAGGACGAUCAGCCACACUGGCACUGCGACACGGGCCAGACUCCUACGGGAGGCAGCAGUAAGGAAUAUUGCGCAAUGGGCGAAAGCCUGACGCAGCGACGCCGCGUGGGGGA
rnacentral:rRNA from 1 species